GGUUGCGUAGUGUAGCGGUUAUCACUCCAGAUUCUGACGAGUUGACCCAGAAAUCUUCUGGCAACCCCGGUUCGAUUCCGGGCGCGACCU